AGAAUUUAUUAUUUGGUGGUUGGGUUGUAAAUCAUGUAAUUGGAAGUUGUUGGCGGAAGAAAGGAAGGAGAACGUGCUAAUAUCCUUUUUUUUUGACAAAAAAUGAUAAGUCUUUCAUCAAAACAGCUACCCCACCGGCCCACCCUAAAACUAUAUAUGUGCUAAUAUCUAAGAAAAAAAAAAACAGAAAAUAAAAAUCCAUGGAAAACAUUCUAGUUUCUUCCGCCAUCCAAAUUCACGUUCUCCAAACACCACCACCCAUUCAUCUUCUCCAACCAAGUAAUCACCAUAGCCACAAUUCACAAAAAUUUCUCAGAAAUUCAUCCCAACUGUCAAACAAAACAGCUAAUCGCAAUUUAGAAGGCCUCUUAUUAUAGGCCGCUUCUUGUUUUUUCCAAGUCUAAAUCUUUCUCAAAGCUUCAGAAAAAAAUUUCUUAAUUUUGAUAAAUAUAGUGAAAAGUAUCUGAUUUUCCAUGAAAACGCGGGUUUGGAACGCUUGAGUUGACAUCAGUAAACAAAUUGUGAUCGAUUGUUUGGGACGCAUCUUCUUCGUUCCUCCUCUCUACCAAUGUUCUGGAUGUCGAAAUAUCUCCCGUGCUUAUUGCAAAAUUAAAUCGGGAUUAUUUUCUCGAAAAAAAUGAGAUCUGGUCACUACCAUUGGAGGAGAGGAAAGAAAGAACUUUCGAAAUUUUCGUUGGAUCUGCGCUGAUUUGAAGAAUGCAGCUGAAAUAGAUAGGUGUCAUAUUUUUCGGCCCUUAUUUGUCAAGAUCUCCGUGUUUUUUUUAUGCAUAUAAUUUUUGAUAUGUAUAGUUUCCAUAAUCAGCACUGUAUAUUAUUAUAUUAUUAUCGUCUUUGCUUUUUCCGGUGAAAUCUUGCUUUAUAUAUUACCCAAAGAUUGCUGAAAUCUCUGAAAUUCUGACCAAAUUUAUGUAAGAAAAUAUUAGAAAGUGUAUUUAUGUUAAGCAAUCUAUUUAUGUAAGGUUGUACAGGGAUUUCAGCAAUCUAAUUAGACCAUUUUAAGGAAAGUAAGAUAAUGCUUUAUUAUAUUCUCCAAAAUUGCU